rnacentral:rRNA from 1 species
AAAUUGAAGAGUUUGAUCAUGGCUCAGAUUGAACGCUGGCGGCAGGCCUAACACAUGCAAGUCGAGCGGUAGCACAGAGAGCUUGCUCUCGGGUGACGAGCGGCGGACGGGUGAGUAAUGUCUGGGAAACUGCCUGAUGGAGGGGGAUAACUACUGGAAACGGUAGCUAAUACCGCAUAACGUCGCAAGACCAAAGUGGGGGACCUUCGGGCCUCAUGCCAUCAGAUGUGCCCAGAUGGGAUUAGCUAGUAGGUGGGGUAACGGCUCACCUAGGCGACGAUCCCUAGCUGGUCUGAGAGGAUGACCAGCCACACUGGAACUGAGACACGGUCCAGACUCCUACGGGAGGCAGCAGUGGGGAAUAUUGCACAAUGGGCGCAAGCCUGAUGCAGCCAUGCCGCGUGUGUGAAGAAGGCCUUCGGGUUGUAAAGCACUUUCAGCGGGGAGGAAGGCGUUAAGGUUAAUAACCUUGGCGAUUGACGUUACCCGCAGAAGAAGCACCGGCUAACUCCGUGCCAGCAGCCGCGGUAAUACGGAGGGUGCAAGCGUUAAUCGGAAUUACUGGGCGUAAAGCGCACGCAGGCGGUCUGUCAAGUCGGAUGUGAAAUCCCCGGGCUCAACCUGGGAACUGCAUUCGAAACUGGCAGGCUAGAGUCUUGUAGAGGGGGGUAGAAUUCCAGGUGUAGCGGUGAAAUGCGUAGAGAUCUGGAGGAAUACCGGUGGCGAAGGCGGCCCCCUGGACAAAGACUGACGCUCAGGUGCGAAAGCGUGGGGAGCAAACAGGAUUAGAUACCCUGGUAGUCCACGCCGUAAACGAUGUCGAUUUGGAGGUUGUGCCCUUGAGGCGUGGCUUCCGGAGCUAACGCGUUAAAUCGACCGCCUGGGGAGUACGGCCGCAAGGUUAAAACUCAAAUGAAUUGACGGGGGCCCGCACAAGCGGUGGAGCAUGUGGUUUAAUUCGAUGCAACGCGAAGAACCUUACCUGGUCUUGACAUCCACAGAACUUUCCAGAGAUGGAUUGGUGCCUUCGGGAACUGUGAGACAGGUGCUGCAUGGCUGUCGUCAGCUCGUGUUGUGAAAUGUUGGGUUAAGUCCCGCAACGAGCGCAACCCUUAUCCUUUGUUGCCAGCGGUCCGGCCGGGAACUCAAAGGAGACUGCCAGUGAUAAACUGGAGGAAGGUGGGGAUGACGUCAAGUCAUCAUGGCCCUUACGACCAGGGCUACACACGUGCUACAAUGGCAUAUACAAAGAGAAGCGACCUCGCGAGAGCAAGCGGACCUCAUAAAGUAUGUCGUAGUCCGGAUUGGAGUCUGCAACUCGACUCCAUGAAGUCGGAAUCGCUAGUAAUCGUAGAUCAGAAUGCUACGGUGAAUACGUUCCCGGGCCUUGUACACACCGCCCGUCACAUCAUGGGAGUGGGUUGCAAAAGAAGUAGGUAGCUUAACCUUCGGGAGGGCGCUUACCACUUUGUGAUUCAUGACUGGGGUGAAGUCGUAACAAGGUAACCGUAGGGGAACCUGCGGUUGGAUCACCUCCUUACCUUAAAGAA